rnacentral:rRNA from 1 species
UACGGAGGGGGCUAGCGUUAUUCGGAAUUAUUGGGCGUAAAGAGCUCGUAGGCGGUGUGUCGCGUCGGUCGUGAAAACUUGGGGCUUAACCCUGAGCUUGCGGUCGAUACGGGCAUCACUUGAGUUCGGCAGGGGAGACUGGAAUUCCUGGUGUAGCGGUGAAAUGCGCAGAUAUCAGGAGGAACACCGGUGGCGAAGGCGGGUCUCUGGGCCGAUACUGACGCUGAGGAACGAAAGCCAGGGUAGCAAACGGG